rnacentral:rRNA from 1 species
UGCCAGCAGCCGCUGUAAUACGGACGGGGCAAGCGUUGUUCGGAUUAACUGGGCGUAAAGGGUGUGUAGGCGGGCAGGUCAGUGAAACGUGAAAUCCUGAGGCUUAACUUCAGAACUGCGUUUCAUACUACCUGUCCAGAGUAUGGGAGAAGUAAGUGGAACUCUCAGUGUAGCGGUGAAAUGCGUAGAUAUUGAGAAGAACACCAGAGGUGAAAACGGCUUACUAGCCUAAUACUGACGCUGAGGCACGAAGGCUAGGGGAGCAAACAGGAUUAGAUA